GCCUGGUUAGCUCAAUUGGCAGAGCAUGAGACUCUUACUCUCAGGGCCAUGGGUUUGAGCCCCACAUUGGGCG